CUCCUAAACCCAUGUGAAACCUACCUUUGUUGCCUCGGCAGGUCUGCAACUUACCCUGAGGGUACCUACCCUGUAGGUACCUUACCCGGUAGUUGCGGGCAUAACCUGCCGGUGGUCUACUAAACUCUGUUUACUAUGUCAUUCUGAAUAAUAUAACUAAAUAAGUUAAAACUUUCAACAACGGAUCUCUUGGUUCUGGCAUCGAUGAAGAACGCAGCGAAAUGCGAUAAGUAAUGUGAAUUGCAGAAUUCAGUGAAUCAUCGAAUCUUUGAACGCACAUUGCGCCCAUUAGUAUUCUAGUGGGCAUGCCUGUUCGAGCGUCAUUUCAACCCUUAAGCCCUGUUGCUUAGCGUUGGGAGCCUACAGAUACCCUCUGUAGUUCCUUAAAGUUAGUGGCGGAGUCGGUUUCACACUCUAGACGUAGUAAAUUUUAUCUCGCCUAUAGAUGAGCCGGUCCCUUGCCGUAAAACCCCCUAAUUUCUAAAGGUUGACCUCGGAUCAGGUAGGAAUACCCGCUGAACUUAAGCAUAUCAAUAAGCGGAGGAA
rnacentral:rRNA from 1 species